UACGUAGGAGGCAAGCGUUGUCCGGAGUUACUGGGCGUAAAGCGCACGUAGGCGGCUUUCUAAGUCGGGGGUGAAAUCCUGGAGCUCAACUCCAGAACUGCCUUCGAUACUGGAGAGCUUGAGUCCGGGAGAGGUGAGUGGAACUGCGAGUGUAGAGGUGAAAUUCGUAGAUAUUCGCAAGAACACCAGUGGCGAAGGCGGCUCACUGGCCCGGUACUGACGCUGAGGUGCGAAAGCGUGGGGAGCAAACAGGG
rnacentral:rRNA from 1 species